rnacentral:rRNA from 1 species
AUUGAACGCUGGCGGCAGGCCUAACACAUGCAAGUCGAGCGAGCGGCGGACGGGUGAGUAAUGUCUGGGAAACUGCCUGAUGGAGGGGGAUAACUACUGGAAACGGUAGCUAAUACCACAUACCAUCAGAUGUGCCCCGAUGGGAUUAGCUAGUAGGUGGGGUAACGGCUCACCUAGGCGACGAUCCCUAGCUGGUCUGAGAGGAUGACCAGCCACGCUGGAACGCGAGCACGGUCCAGACCCCUACGGGAGGCAGCAGUGGGGAAUAUUGCACAAUGGGCUCAAGCCUGAUGCACCCAUGCCGCAUGUGUGAAGAAGGCCUUCGGGUUAUAAAGCACUUUCAGCGGAGAGGCGUAUCCCGCAAAAGAAACGCCGGCUAACUCCGUGCCAGCAGCCGCGGUAAUAC